rnacentral:sRNA from 1 species
GUGAGCUUGUUUUAAGUCUCUAAGCUUGACUUCUCAUACUCAUUAGGCUUAGGGUGGGUUGUAGAGAGGAAAUGAGGUCUCCUCUCCUUCUUUAGUAGAGUGAUCAUCAUACUCAUUAGGGUUUCUUGACAGGUCUGCAAUUGGGUACUCAUUGGCCAUGUCCUCACAGUAAGCUUCUUUUUUAUCAAGAUAGUCUUCUCCUCUAGACCAUUCCGACGUGAAUUCACAUCCUUCUUUGCUGACAAGUAUAAUGGCUCCAUCGUCAGGGGCGUUCUUGAUGUUGAGUAGUACUUGGUUUGCUUUUCCAUUGAGCUCCUAGAUUUGAUCCUUUAGCUCUUUCACAAUAUGUGUUAGCUCUUGUAUGGCUUUGUCUUGCCAUUUUGAUCUCUCCUUGAGUUCUAACCAAUCAUUUGACAUCUGAGUGCUUGCCUUGAGUUGUUUGGUCGAGCAUGAGCUUUCAGGACAAGUUGGAGGCUUCUUCGAGUUGUUGGUGGAAUUAGUUGGUCGAGCAUGUGUUGAACUUACUUCAUUAGCUUUCAUAACCUUUGUGCCAGACCCCAUCAAGCCCUUGUAAACCUCUGAGCCAACUGCUGCCUUGUGUGAGUCUAAUGACUUCUCAGAACUCAAAGUUUCACUAGGGAGAUACCCACCUUACCACUCUUGGUCUAAACAGUUUUUGAAUUAUUUGCUUCUUCAAGUUCCACUAGCAGUUCACCAGCUAACUGUUCCACUUCCUUAACUAAGAAGGUUUGUUCUUCUAUUGUCGGCUUUUUCAUAGCAUCAUUGAUAUCAAACUUCAUUUCCAAAUUCUUCCCCAGAUUAAGAUCAAUCUUUCCUUGCUUAACAUCUAUGAUUGCUCCAGCUGUAGCCAAAAAAGGUCUUCCUAGUAUCAAGGGAUCUUUUGGUUCUUCAUCCAUGUUUAGCACUACGAAGUGUGUAGGCACCUCCACAUUUCCAAUCUUGAUAGGCAAAUCUUCUAAUAACCCAUGAGGUAGUCUAACAGACCUAUCAGCCAAGAUCAAGGAGAUAUUGUAGUAUUUAUACUUGUUGAAACCCAACCUCUUAGCUACUGAGAGUGGCAUGAGAUUUACUGAUGCUCCUAGGUCACAAAGGCAUUUAUUGAAAGUCAAUGAACUUAGGGAACAUGGUAGAGUGAAUGAACCAGGGUCUCCUAGCUUUUCUGGGACAUCGUUCUCCUGUAUGAUGGCACUGCACUCAUGGCUCAGAACUGUUGUUUUUUGAACCUCUUGAAUUCUCUCCAUGAUCAAGUCUUUGAGGAACUUUUGGGAAUCCGGGAUACGCGUUAGAGCAUCAGCAAGAGGUAUCCUUAAUUCGACUUCCUUGAUGUUCUUGGCAAACAUAGCUCUGUACUUAUCUUCUAACUCUUUCUUAUAUCGACCAGGAAAUGGAACUGGGGGCUUGUAAGGAUGAGGAAUGAAGACAUUUUUUUUGUUUUUGAUAGCAACUGGUUUCAGAGCAGUUUGUGAUAUUGCUUGGAAGGUCGGUCGAGUAAAGUGGUCGAGUGGCAGCUCGAGUGACUGGUCGAGUGGCUGCUCGAGUGACUGGUCGAGUGGCUACUCGAGUGACUGGUCGAGUGGCUGCUCGGGCUGCUCAAGUGACUGGUCGAGUGGCUGGUCGAGUGGCUGGUCGAGUGGCUGGUCGAGUGGCUGCUCGAGUGACUGGUCAGCUUGAUCUUUAUUGAGACUGAAAUCCUCCCCAUCUUGGUAUGCACUGUCCUCAGUGACUGACUUGGGUCUCUCUCUAGUGGAUAACUCACUUCCACUCCUUAUGUUGAUAGCCUGAACAUUAGCAUACUCCUUGGGAUUCUGAAUUGACUUCCCUGGAAGUCCCGUAACUUUGGGAGCAGAGGUAGAUGCGGAUUGUCCUUCUAAGUAUCUGACUUUGGAAUUCAACACCUCCACUAUGGCAUUCAGGUCAUUGUAGCUGCAGUCCAUCUUCUGGUGCAAUUCAGAUAACUUCUUAGCAAUUUCCAUGGAGCUAGAUGCUUGUCCCUGUAGCAGCUGUUGUACCAUCUGUUUCAUUUCAGCAUCAGGAACAACAGGACCUUGGUUUUGCUGAGGUGCAAACCCAGGUGGUGGUUGCUGCUGGUAGUUCCCUUGAAAUUGCUCCUUGGGAACAAAACCUUGAUUGUAUGGAACAAAAGGUUUAUUCUGACUUUGUUGUUGUGGUGGAGGAUACAGUUGAUCCUCAGGAUUAGCAACGUUGGUGCUGCGGUAAGAGAGGUUGGGGUUGUUCAUCUUGAAGUUGUUGUACCCUUUGUAGCCACCUUGAUUGUUGAUGUACCUAACUUCUUCUAACUGGUUAACCUCCCCAUCUUGGACUUGGUACUGCUUGUCAUCAACAAGGAAGUGCACAUGCUUCUACUGGCUAAGAAGAAUCCUGUCCAGCUUGUCAUUCAGCGCUUUGAUCUCCUUCCUGUGUUUGUCAUCAGAGUCAGUUGUGCCUCUGAUAGUUCUGUCGCAGUCCUCGUUGUAAUUACCAUCUGAUUGAGCAAGGUUCUCAACCAAUUCCCAACCUUCUUCAACAUCUUUGUUCUGGAAAUUCCCAUUGCUGGCGGUAUCCAGAAGCAUUCUGAUCCGUGGUAGAACUCUUCUGUAUAGAGUGCUGAGCAGAGAAGCUUUCUUGAAGCCAUGAUGAGGGCAUUGGUUGGUGUAACCCUUGAAACGCUCCCAUGCUUCACAGAAGCUUUCACCAGUCUUCUGUGAAAAGCCAGAAAUCUCAUUUCUAGGUCUUGCAGUUCUGGCAUUGGAGAAGAACUUUGCUAGAAAAGCCUUCUUGCAAUCAUCCUAGGUGGUGAUUGAGUCAUGGGGCAGAUUCUUUUCCCAGAUGUUAACAUAGAAAUUUAUUUAUGUUAGAUAUUUCAUAAUAAAAUUUCGAUAUAUCAUAACUCAUUCCAUUAUUUUAGUAGAUUAUAUUUAACCAGCCUUCUACUGUAAGUAUUAUAUAUAUAUAUCAGUUUUAGGAAAUCCAAUUAGAGUAUUUACAAUUUAUAAUUUUGUUUUAU